AAUAAAUUCCAACAUCUCGAUACAAAACUAGUAUUUAUUUGAGAAAAUUACAAAUGAAGUUGAAUAAAUUAAACAAUAUAAACUUAGUACCUAUAAUUAUUUUUCCUGAGCUCAAGAUCGAUUUACAAAUGAAGACAAACGAAUUUACGAAUGAACAGACCAAUGAACCAACCACAUCACCAAGCACACACGAGACGAAGAACUACUGUUUUUCUGAAACAGAUAAGUAUUUAGAAAUAUUAACUUUUUGCAAGUACUCUAUUUUUAAAUGCUAUAAAUUGAUUUUCCGGUAAAGCUUUAGUUAAGCAAUCCGCCAACUGAUUUUUAGAUUCGAUUUUAUCAAUUUUUAAGAUGCCUUCACGGACAUACUCACGAGUUUUCAAGUACUUUAACUCAAUAUGUUUAACUCGACUAUUGCUAGUUGCAUUACUAGAAACACUAAUAGCCGCAUUGUUAUCUUCGUAAACAGAUAUUGGCAUUUUUAUAUCACCAAUGGUUUCUUCUAUUAUACGAGCUAUAAACAAGAUUUCUUUUGCUGCUUCACAGAUACUCAUAAAUUCAGCCUCUCCAGAACUCUCAGCACAACAUUGUUGUAACUUCGAGCUCCAGCCAAUCAAAUUACCAUUAUAACGAAUUAGAUAUCCGGUAGUAGACUUCCUAGAUCUUGGAUCUCCGGCGAAAUCAGCAUCAACGAAUGCAUCAAGCAUUGUUGUACCUUUUUCAUACUGAAGACCACAUGAACUAGUACCUUUAAGAAUAUAUACACAAGGUUCACGUUCGAUUCUAAUGAAGUUAAUUGAGAUUAAAAAUGCAUGAAAACGAUUAUACCAACAUCUAGGUGCUGUUGCAAAGCCAUACAAAGCCUGUAUUACCUUGCACACGUAAUUUUUCCUGUCACCUGUAGCCCCUUCAGCAAAUAACCACCUUACAGUGAUUAAUCGAGGAGUAGGUGAAGUUGUAUCCUUUGAAUCGUACCUUUCAGGAUCGCGACACCCUACAGCAACGAUUCUAGCCUUUGCUGUACCAUCAUCUUUAACUGUGAAAACCCACUUACAAGGCCCCCACUUACUGACAUUAGUUUGUGAUGUUGCCUGACUAUACGAAAUAGGAAUUUCUUUCGAUGGAGUAAACAACUGUUCGAUGUUACAGAAAUUGACCUUGGAAUUAGUUUCAUCCCAAUCAUAAUCAAUAACGUUUUCAACAAUUUCAUAUUCGUUAUCAUCCUCAUUAUUUACUAAAUUAGAUGAACUAGAACUAGAAUCAACUACUUCUGGUGUAUUUACGUUUGUUUCGUUUAUUUCAGAUGAAAAUUCAAGACUAUCAGUUUGAUUUGAUGGAAAAUCAUUUUUGUACAAUUUUUCCUCAUCAACUUCUACAUGACACGAAUCAAUGGUUUUCUUUGUUUUUGGGUCAAAUAAAGUAUAACCUGUUCUAGUGAAACCAACCAGAUACAGCAUACUAGAACGAGAAAAGAACUUUUGUCCUUUUGGUAUUAAAUCGUUUUUCGUAGACACCCUAGAUCCAAAUAAUUUUAAAUAAGUCAAAUCAGGUGAUACAUUGAACAGUUUUUCAAAAGGAGUAACAAAAUCAAUACUCGAAUGCGGAGUUCUAUUGUAUAUGUAGCAAGCAGCGUCGAUAGCUAGCCCCCACAUAUUCACAGGAAAUCCUGACUCAAAAAUUAAAGCUCUCGCACGUUCCUGUAAGGUUCGAUUCAACCUUUCUAUAAGGCCAUUGUGUUGAUGACAAUGAGCCUCUGACAACUCUCGUGUCAAGCCAUAAUAAACUAGAAUUUCAUCUA